rnacentral:rRNA from 1 species
UACGAAGGGGGCUAGCGUUGCUCGGAAUGACUGGGCGUAAAGAGCGCGCAGGCGGCUGGUCAAGUCCGAUGUGAAAGCUCCCGGCUUAACUGGGAAAUUGCAUCGGAAACUGAUCGGCUGGAAGGUGGGAGAGGGUAGCGGAAUUCCCGGUGUAGUGGUGAAAUGCGUAGAGAUCGGGAGGAACACCUGUGGCGAAGGCGGCCCCCUGGGCCGGCCCUGACACUGAGACGCGAAGGCGUGGGGAGCGAACGGG